rnacentral:lncRNA from 1 species
CUAUUAAAUUGUAAAUGAAAGGAACUUACCAAAACAUGAAAACCAAGUAAUUUAAAACUGGCUCCAAUAGAUGUAUUAUGUAGAAAACAACUUAGAAAUAAUCUUAUUAAAUGGCAAUUAUAUGUCAUCUAUGGAUAGGGGCCCUUCCAAACCAGCCGAAUAAAACAAAAUUAUAUUUUAUAAAAAAGAAAUGAAUGAGAAGUAGAACCCAAGAAACGAAGAACCACAAUUAAUGCAUACACACCUAAACAAGUGAGACAAAUAAAUUAAAGCACCUCAAGGAAAAUUCCAUACCAAGCAGGGAUGAAGCUAUUGAGGGGCCCACAGUGGCCAUGGCCCCUCCCUAAAUUUUUUAAAAUUAUAUAAAAAUUCUUUAUAAUAAAAAUUAAAAUAUUAUAAAUUUUAAUUUUAUGGGGCCAAAUUAAUUUUUUUAAUAAAAUUUGUGUCUCAAUUUUUUUUUGAAUUUGUUGAUCAUUUCCCUUCAAUUCUCGCAGCCUUGUUCUUUUUUGAGCAUAUUGUCGUUAUCAGUGAAUCUGACAAAUUUUUUUUUUACUAUCCGAGAUCGAAUUUUUUUCCUAUCAAAUCUAAAUUUUGGCCCCCCCGAAUCUUAAUUUCUGGCUUCGUCUCUGACUAGAUGUAGAAAUACAAGGAUUGCAAAUCACUCAAAAAAAAUGUUAGGCGUUGAUUUGCCAAAUUGCAUUUUUAUGCCUAAAAAUAAUUAUAUAACUAGUGAAGGCCCGCGCUUCGCUGCGGAAAAUUUAUGUAAUUUUUAAAAUCUCUUGAGUAGACUAUUUUUUAUUAUUCAAAAUUUAAAUUUAAAUUUAGAAUAAAAAAUAUUGAAGCUUAAAAUUUAAAUUUUAAUAUAUCAAAUUGAAAUUUCAAUAUUUGGAAUUUAAUAUUUAGAUUUUUCUAAUUCAAUUUAUAAUGUAAU